AUCACCCGAUUCAUGUAGCAUUUCUCUCUCUCAUCAAGCCGACGCGACGAUAGCAGUGAUCUCUCUCUCUCUCUCUCUGUGAUCCGAUCGUGCGUAUCGCCGGUGGGUAUCUCGACCCACCUCUAAUAUCUCCCUCAUAACCUGAAAUUCCAUAAGGCCCUCCAUAUUCAAUCACCCGUCACCAUCAAAACCCUCUAUCCCCCUUUGAGUUUUUCCCCCUCUUUUUUUUCUUCUUAAGUGAAUUUUGCAGCAUAUAUGGCGGUGGAUGAGGGGGGAAAGGGGGAAACUUUCCGCCCGACCCGAGUGUAAUUGUACCAAUUCUGAUGUAGAUAGAUUCUGAGUAUCGCAUACCCGUGCAGAAGGGUUUUGCAUUUCCUUCUUCAUUUACAUGGAUCUGUGUUGAUUUAAACAAAGGCUGACAAGGGUACAUAUAUAGUUAUUCCAUGGACUGAAAUGGAGAUUUCUUGUAAGAUAUGGUCGUAUGCUAUGUGGCUUUGACUUACCCGCCUCACCAAGCUCAUCUUAUUAUAAGGGGAGAUCGUUUUAAAGGCUCCGACCUUCACCAACCUUCAGAAUUGGCCGUUGUCAGUUACUGUAUUAGGGUAAAGGCUGCCUUUUUACUCAAAGCAAAAUUCAAAAGCAUGUACUAAUUGGAUCGGAGCUUCUGAGGAUUUUCUUCUUUAAGUUAUUUUUUAUUUAUUUAUAACAAUAACAAGCACCAAGACACAACUUCGGAGACAGAAAAGGCUAAAAGUUGCAGCCAAAAAGCUACCCCUGAAGAGUGCUGCUGGGAAUGCUAAGUUUGAGAGUGGUUCUCGAAUCGGUCCCACCUCUGUUAUGCACCUUCCUGAUGAUUGCCUGUAUUUCAUUUUCCAGCGGCUACACUGCAAGCUGGACCGUAACUCUUUCGGUUUGACUUGCCUUUGCUGGCUUCAAAUCUAGAAUUCCAGUCGUAAAUCGUUGUGCUGCUCAGACGUCUUAUUUACUGGCAUUCACCUCCCCCUUGAUAGGUUGCUCAAUCGUUUUCCCCAGCUACAGUCCUUGUCCCUGUCCAAGUACAAAUUUACGUCUAAUUCGCUCUCAUCUCAAUUGCAACCGUACGGUCCGUACGGCUCAAAGUUGCAUGCUCUUAACUUGAGUCAUUGUUUUAAGCUUACUGAUUAUGGGCUUUACCUUGUUGCUAUUGGCUGCCCUUCUUUGACAGACAUUGGUCUCUGUUUGUGCAAUGUUACAGAUGUUGGGUUAUGAGUCUUGUCAAAAUCUUGCUUGGCUUUGAAGGACAUGAAACUCCUACAUUGUCGGGCCAACUUCUGACCAUGGAAUAAGAGAGCUUUCACAGAAUUGCAGGCAGCUUCGGUUUGUCUGCGUAUCUAUGUGUCAAGGUGUCACUGGUGUUGGUUUUAAAGGGUGUUCCAAAACUCUAACUUGCUUAGACGCUACAGGUUGUAAGCUUGAACCAGAGGGGAUACUGGGGAUUGUAAGUGGAGGUGGGCUAAAGUAUCUGAAUGUAUCUUUUGUAAGUUAUAGCCCUGGUGGGGAUCGUUUGGGAGCUAUUGGGUCAUCUGGAUUUGCCAAAAGGCUUACUGUCCUUGAUUUUCGUGCAAAUCUGUUAACAACGAAACCAUUGUGGCGGUUUCCAAAAGGUGCCCUUUGCUACAGGAGUGGAGCUUGAUAUCAUGUCAUGAGGUUAAAUUGUCAGGAUGGGAAUCGAUUGGCUCAAACUGUUGUAACUUGAAGAGGCUUCUUGUUAAUGGAUGUCGUAAUUUAUGUGAUCAAGGGUUACGUGCAAUAAGGGAUGGAUGCAAGCAUCUCACUAUAUUACACAGCAACGAGUGUGCUCGGAUUUCUUCUACAGCAAUGGAGGUGUUCAAAAAGUCAAGAAGUGACGUGGAGAUCAAAGAAGAAGAUCCAUUUAGCAUUGCGCCUGCUUGGGUUUUUGACGAUGGGACAAAAUUCCAUCGCUAAGUUAAAGCUUAUUGGAGGUCCAUGAUUACUUAAAAUCAAAGGUAAGGCCUUAGUCAUUUUAAAGCUUGAUUGACGAAUCAAAGAAGAUUGGUUACUUAAAGAUGAUGUACUUCAGUUAAAUACAUUUCUUGUAUCCAUUUUGCAAUUACCUACUUGGGGAGCGCAAGUUCAUCUCUUGCAUUGCAUGAAAUGGUAGAUUUUUUUUUGUCAUUUUUUAGUUUUGAACUUUAAAGCAACCAAAAUGUUAGUUAUAUAAUUUGACAAACCAGUAAAAUCUACACAGUAGCUGCAUUACUCGGUAAUAUUGUUCCUUUGUUCAGUUUUUUUAUUUUUUAUUUAGUUUAGGAUGAACUCGAAUUUGAUAUUGAGGCCAAUGGUUGUUGCCUUGUUAGGGAUCCUGGCUUGCUACCGAUUUCUUGGUAUCAUUAACCUUCAGGCAAUCAGCAAUAGGGCUCAAAGAACUUAUUUGAAGUUUGACCUAUCUGCCACUUGGAAGUGCACAAACAUACAAGGAUCUCUCUUCCCUAACAAAUUAAUAAUUUUUUUGUUUGUUUGUUUAGUAAUCUCUUGAAUACAAUUUUUAUGCUAUUUGAUUACUUUUGGAUAAAUUUUAUCGGACAAUGAUGCUGGAAAUGAAAAACUUGGAUACCUGAGACUUGGGACACAAUGAAAGAAGCAUAGCAAUGUGCACGUAAAUUAAUUUGGGUCUCUAGGUAUGCCCUCUCUGAUGCCAUUUGGCAAAACUUGGAUACCUGAGACUUGGGACACAAUGAAGGAAGUAUGGCAAUGUACACGUAAAUUAAUUUGGGUCUCUAGGUAUGCCCUCUCUGAUGCCAUUUGGCUUUGAUUUAGGGGCAUCGUUCUGCAGCAAAACAAGUAUAAGGGGGCCACUGUUUUAAUAGUAUUCUGAGAGCAACCACUUUGUGCAUAUUGCCAAAGGUUAGGGUUGUCUCCAAUCCUCCUCCGUCCAUACCCCCAAUGAGUGGGGACUAAAUGGGUUUUGUUGUUGAUUUGAACGUCAUUAUGUUGUAUGUAGGACUACUCUACCCAACAAUCUCACCAUAUUGGUGGGAUGAGCCCAUUUGAAAUAUCACCCGAAGUGUGCAAGCAUACCACCAGUCAAGUUUGCUCCUACAAGGAAGCUCUUCAUUCCAGCCAAAUAUGCUUCAAAGAGGAUUUUUUCUGUUGCAGCCAAUUACACAUCAAGGCAUGCAACCAUUUCAGGGUUGGUACCGUUUCUCUCCAUAUUGGAGGACAAGCCAUCACGGGUUCACCAACAUGCUAAACACCAUACGACCACCUGAAGUUCAAAAAAAAACCCCAAGGUUCUAUGAUGGUUGAAAUUGAAGAUGCUAGAGACCAUUAUUUUCUGGUAUUUUUUUGGUUAGGGUCAGUACCAUUCCUAAGAUGGAGGAAGUUCAAAAUGUUAAGCCAUUCUGUUUUGUGUUUUUUGGUACUCAUGGUUUGCUCUGGCAUCAAGAAAUAGCUCAUUAUUUUGCGAACGGACAUGAGCAAGCUCUCUGUAUAUGGUUUUUAUAUUGGCAUUUUGUUCUCUUCUUGGCAACGUACUCCAGUAUAUAUGGUUCCUUUUUUU